CUCCUCUUUGACACCAAGAUUGGGGUCUGAAAUAUUACAACACCCUCAUUUGUAAAAAAGAUUUUAAAAAAAUACAAGUGGCUUCUCGGCAUCUUGGGUAGUUCCCUUGAGGGACUCCUGGCUCUGCAUUACCUUGCUGUAGGAGAAGUACCAAUGACAGCAGUGACUAGAAGCAGCAUUGAGAGCAAUGAAGCCUUGACAGAUGAUGCCGACGCAUACAAUAUUCCCCGGCACAAAGCUGAUACACACCAUGACGAGACUGACACAAUAGGUCCUGGGCUUGUCCAAU